rnacentral:rRNA from 1 species
UACGUAGGGGGCGAGCGUUGUCCGGAAUCAUUGGGCGUAAAGCGCGUGUAGGCGGCUCGAUAAGUCGGGUGUGAAACCUCCAGGCUCAACCUGGAGACGCCACCCGAUACUGUCGUGACUAGAGUCCAGUAGGGGAGCGUGGAAUUCCUGGUGUAGCGGUGAAAUGCGCAGAUAUCAGGAGGAACACCAGCGGCGAAGGCGGCGCUCUGGGCUGGAACUGACGCUGAGGAGCGAAAGCGUGGGGAGCGAACAGG